rnacentral:misc_RNA from 1 species
CUUGGUCAUUUAGAGGAAGUAAAAGUCGUAACAAGGUCUCCGUUGGUGAACCAGCGGAGGGAUCAUUACCGAGUUUCUACUCUAAACCCUGCGAACCUACCAUUACGUGCUUCGGCGGCCAGCCCCGGGGGGGGCCCUACGGCCGCCGAUAGUACCCAAAAAUCACUUUUCAGAGUCUUCUGAGUGACAAAAAAAAACAAGUCAAAACCUUCAACAACGGAUCUCUUGGUUCUGGCAUCGAUGAAGAACGCAGCGAAAUGCGAUACGUAAUGUGAAUUGCAGAAUUCCGUGAAUCAUCGAAUCUUUGAACGCACAUUGCACCCGGUGGUAUUCCGCCGGGUAUGCCUGUCUGAGCGUCAUUUCUACCCUCAAGCCUCGCUUGGUGUUGGCGGAUCGCCCGCUGCGGCGACCGCUAAAAAUCAACGGCGGUAGCGCCCGUGUCCCCUGUAUAGUACAUUUCUUGCAGCGGUCUGCGGGGGCCCACCAGCCUCGUACCCCACCAAAACGAAAGUUGACCUCAGAUCAGGUAGGAAUACCCGCUGAACUUAAGCAUAUCAAUAAGCGGAGGA